AGAGUUUGAUCCUGCUCCAGGAUGAACGCUAGCGGCAGGCUUAACACAUGCAAGUCGAGGGGCAGCAUGUCCAGCAAUGGAUGAUGGCGACCGGCGGAAGGGUGCGUAACGCGUGAGCAACAUGCCCUAUACAGGGAGAUACACCAGGGAAACUUGGUCUAAUAUCCCAUAGCAUUCAUUGAAGGCAUCUUUAAUGAAUUAAAGCUUCGGUGGUAUAGGAUUGGCUCGCGUGACAUUAGCCAGAUGGUGAGGUAACGGCUCACCAUAGCAAUGAUGUCUAGGGGUUUUGAGAGGAAGGCCCCCCACACUGGGACUGAGACACGGCCCAGACUCCUACGGGAGGCAGCAGUGAGGAAUAUUGGACAAUGGAUGGAAAUCUGAUCCAGCCAUGCCGCGUGCAGGAAGACGGCCUUAUGGGUUGUAAACUGCUUUUAUACGGGAGCAAUAAGGGUUACGAGUAAUCCGAUGAGAGUACUGUAUGAAUAAGGAUCGGCUAACUCCGUGCCAGCAGCCGCGGUAAUACGGAGGAUCCGAGCGUUAUCCGGAAUUAUUGGGUUUAAAGGGUGCGUAGGCGGCCAUUUAAGUCAGCGGUGAAAUUUUGCAGCUUAACUGUAACAGUGCCGUUGAUACUGUUUGGCUAGGAUUUGGUUGUAGUGUGCGGAAUGUGUGGUGUAGCGGUGAAAUGCUUAGAUAUCACACAGAACACCGAUUGCGAAGGCAGCACACUAAGUCAUUAUUGACGCUGAGGCACGAAAGUGUGGGGAUCAAACAGGAUUAGAUACCCUGGUAGUCCACACUGUAAACGAUGAUAACUCGCUGUCGGCGAUACACAGUCGGGGCCAAGCGAAAGC
rnacentral:rRNA from 1 species